GAUGAACGCUGGCGGCGUGCUUAACACAUGCAAGUCGAACGAAGCAUUUAAGAACGAUUCUUCGGAUGAGGACUUUUAUGACUGAGUGGCGGACGGGUGAGUAACGCGUGGGUAACCUGCCCUAUACAGGGGGAUAACAGUUAGAAAUGACUGCUAAUACCGCAUAAGCGCACGGAGCCGCAUGGCUUAGUGUGAAAAACUGAGGUGGUAUAGGAUGGACCCGCGUCUGAGUAGCUUGUUGGUGAGGUAACGGCUCACCAAGGCGACGAUCAGUAGCCGGCCUGAGAGGGCGACCGGCCACAUUGGGACUGAGACACGGCCCAA
rnacentral:rRNA from 1 species